UACGUUGUGCAAUGCCAGUUUUAAAUACUAAUAUAAGUGCACUGAUCUCAUAUGUGGAAUCACAGAAAUUAUGCAAUUUGUACUUCAUAGCUUAUACAUGCAUAUAGAUUUUGUUUUUACCAGAACCACGCUGGUAAAAACAGAUGCUGCACAAAGUGAACUUGCCCGUUUUCAUCGCACUUUACGUGCACGAAUUCUACCUCUACUCUCGACCUGGGACUCACCGAUGCGUAAGGAAGGACUGAAAAGCAAAAGAACUAUGGACUGGCCUUUUGGCAUGAUCAGGUGUCUAAUAUAAAGAAGUGCAUGAAUAAGAAAAUAUAUGAUAUGAGUGAUGGUUAAUACUGACUGUCAACUUGAUUGGAUUGAAGGAUGCAAAGUAUUGAUCCUGGGUGUGUCUGUGAGGGUGUUGCCAAAGGAGAUUAACAUUUGAGUCAGUGGGCUGGGAAAGUUCGACCCACUGUUAAUCUAGAUGGACACCAUCUAAUCAGAUGCCAGUGCAGCUAGAAAUGUAAAGCAGACAGAAAAAUGCGAAAAGAGAGACUGGCCUAGCCUGCCAGCCUACAUCUUUCUCCCACGCUGGAUGCUUCCUGCCCUCGAACAUCAGACUCCAAGUUCUUCAGUUUGGGACUUGGACUGGCUCUCCUUGUUCCUCAGCUUGAAGACUGCCCAUUGUGGGACUUGUGAUCAUGUGCUCAGGAAGUAUGUGUGGACUUUUGUCAUGGGUUGAAUAGUGUCCCUCGCAAAGUUCACGUCCACAUGGAACCCGUGAAUGUGACCGCUGUGGUUUGAAUGCUUCUGUCAAAACUUAAUCCCCAAUGCAACAAUACAAAGAAAUAGGGUCUUUAGGAGGUGAGUGGAAGUCGACGGCCUUAUAAAAGGCUUGACUGAGGGAGCUCACCCCUUUUUGCCCCUCCUGCCCCUUCCACCAUGUGAGGACGCCGAGGCUGCAUUAUCUGUGAGGAAUGGACUCUCCCCAGACGCUGGACCUGCCAGCAUCUUCACCUUGGACUUUCCAGCAAAGACUAGAAGAAAUAAGUUUCUGUUUUUUCUACAUGACCCAGUUUCAGAUAUUUUUUAGAGCAGCACAACCGGACUAACACAGUGACCUUAGUUGGAAAUCGGGUCAUUGCAGAUAUGAUCAGGUUAAAGACACACAGGGAGGGGCCACCGUGCGAAGAUGGGGGCGGAGACUGAAGUGACCUGGCCGCCAGCCAGGCAACACCAAGGACUGCCAAACGACUGGACUGUGUCGCUUAAGAAAUUAAUUCUGUGGAAAUUUCACAUCCAUCGGCAAGUUCUCCAUGAGAAUUUUGUAUCGUGUUUUCCAUUCUGAUGAAAACUUAAAAAAUGAUCACAGGCCUUCUUGGAAUUAUCAGGACAACGACUUUUGUCAUGUUAUUUCAAGGCCACACUUAAACGUUUGCCUCCACUUCAGUGCCCUGUGGUUUCAAAAAAUGUAUCAGGUCCUAACAGCAGCAUCCUUCCCUGUUUCACAUUGUGUCAAGUUGAAUUCUUUAACCAGCUGUGAGGGCAAAAUUUCUCGUAGAUCAUUGGUAGAGCAUUUUUAUAGACUUCACUUUCUUAAGUUACUUAGUAAGCAAAGACUUUGAUUCGACAGAAUUUAAAAGACCUAGUAUUGCAAACUGAUGCUUUCUUUAAUUGUCCUGGAUUAAUAGGAGCAGAAGCAUACUUAAUGUUAAAGAGAUACUGCUGCAUCAACAAGGCCAAAUGAAGUCAUGUUUUACCUAAGCAAUAAAGGUAGCAGAGGUUAGACAGAAAAGCGUGCUGGGUGAACUGAGACCUCCUCCCACACCGGCUGUGGAGCCAAGAGGACCUGGGCCUCUGCUGUCAGCCCAACACGCUCCCCUCCCAGGGAUGUGUCCGCCAGAUCCCAACAUCAUAUACUUCCUCAGAAGCAAUUGCAACAGUCAGUUCUCAGUCAGUGUAGCGGGAGAUGGCCCACAAAGAAGUUCUCAUUCAAUGACAUAUUUUUAUUUUUCAUGAUUGCAUUUUGGAAUAUAUUUUAAAAUGAUUGGCCUGUCAACAUAAUGGAUUGGCAGUUAAAAAUAACCAGGAGAAUAUGUAAAAAAUAAAAAGGGUAAAUU
rnacentral:lncRNA from 1 species